rnacentral:lncRNA from 1 species
GACAGUGACACGAGUAAUGUUAAAAUCCUCGACCGAGAAGAAGUUGAAGUGUCCCAUUUUUCUGUCGACUACGAGUGUCUAACGAACGCAAACCCGAUGUUCAUGGCUAGUGUACGACAAUUAAUGAGGGGCCAAGAGUAGGAUCCUUGACCGUCCUCUGCUGGUAAUGGUACGGUUAUUGACGUACUUAAAAAUGAUCCAUUCUUGUUGUUUGAUGGUGUCAUGAUCCCGUAAUAAAACUUUUUCAAGGACCAGUGAACAUCACUUGACAGAGAAAAGAAUAUUCCGACAGGAGUAUAGACCGUUGAUUUUACACUACUAUCCAAGCUUUUUGGUAAACGCAAAAGCGUUCUCUUUGGCCAUCGCCGCGAGCACCGUAAUUUCUGACGUCGAAGACCUUUUCCCCUCUGUAAUGUCCAUUCGGGGGAGCUCUUGAGACGGCUAAGAAGAAGACCAUAUCGACCGAUCUCAUUUCUUUCUUUCGUUCUUAACCUACUGAUAAGUUGAGGUAAAGUGAAGCGUUUUGAGCUUCUUAUUUAUAUGUAACAAUCAGU